GUGUAGCAAUACACGAGUGGCGCACGGGUGAGUAACACGUGGAUAUCUGCCUUUUGGUUCGGAAUAACCCUGGGAAACUAGGGCUAAUACCGGAUGGUUCCUACGGGAUAAAGAUUUAUCGCCAAAAGAUGAGUCCGCGUCCGAUUAGCUAGUUGGUGAGGUAAUGGCUCACCAAGGCGACGAUCGGUAGCUGGUCUGAGAGGACGAUCAGCCACACUGGGACUGAGACACGGCCCAGACUCCUACGGGAGGCAGCAGUGGGGAAUAUUGGACAAUGGGGGCAACCCUGAUCCAGCCAUGCCGCGUGAGUGAUGAAGGCCUUCGGGUUGUAAAGCUCUUUUGGCGGGGACGAUGAUGACGGUACCCGCAGAAUAAGCCCCGGCUAACUUCGUGCCAGCAGCCGCGGUAAGACGAAGGGGGCUAGCGUUGUUCGGAAUUACUGGGCGUAAAGCGCGUGUAGGCGGUUGCCAUAGUCAGGUGUGAAAGCCUUGAGCUUAACUCAAGAAAUGCACUUGAUACUGGGCGACUAGAGGACCGGAGAGGAUAGUGGAAUUCCCAGUGUAGUGGUGAAAUACGUAGAGAUUGGGAAGAACACCAGUGGCGAAGGCGGCUAUCUGGACGGUACUGACGCUAGAC
rnacentral:rRNA from 1 species